UGGAAAGAGCUUUAGGACAGCUUAGAUGC
rnacentral:piRNA from 1 species